UUUUCUAUGCAGAGUAUUUGCUCAUACCGCUUGUGAGGUGAAUGUACAAGCCUCACCUUUCACUGGAAGUGGUAAAAUUAUCUGGCAGCUUGUCAAUUCUCCUAGGUUUUGAAAAUUAUUCUAAUUCUGGUAAAUGUAAUUUUGGGUUAAAUAAAUUGUACCUAAUUGUGUUGCAUUUUAUCAGAUUAACUGUUUAUCAUUAUGCAGAUUCUGUUUGAUUGUUGUUAGCUUAAAAUAAAGGGAGAAGGGUAAAAAAUACUCCCCAACUUUCGUCUAAUAGCUAGCUUUACCUUUCGUUAUACUAUCUGGCC
rnacentral:lncRNA from 1 species